AUCACAGGAGCAAAAAGAUUCAAGGAUGUCUGUUUGAAUAAAGCCGUGCUUGAAGUAGCCCUUGCCCAGCAGAAUGACCCCAGGUCACAGAAAAGAGAACAUGGUUACACAAACAGGCAAUUGAGAUUCGCUGCAUAUCGCCAGUUUGUUUGGAUGACGUGGAAGAGGCUUGGCAGGCACCACAGACGCAUCCUGCCUAGUUGUGUUCUGUGUGCCAUUCACAAGAAAUAUCCAUCGAAGAAUGGAGUGUACACGGGAUUCAGGCAUUUCUGAGCAUUUACUCAAGACAGGCAACUGGUGUACCUCCUGUCGCUUUUGGAAAUUUGACACGCCACCUAAGAGUACCAGCCUUUGUUGAUGCCUGCUCUCUUCCGCUGUUCUCAUUGUAGUGAAGAGCCGCUAGCUGUGUUCUUAAACGAAGAAGAUUCAAGUCAGGCAAAUAGUCACAUGCAACUUGUUCAUUAAGAAAAAGGAAUUAAAAAAGUAUUCACCUUG